AAUUCAUGGUGAGGCCAAUCUCUCAGUCCUUAUAUAGCUCUCAUGCUUCGAAGGGUGAUUCACCUUCCAUCUGCCUAAAGCAAGUAACCUAGUUCCUUAAUU